UUUGUAUUACGUGCGGAAAUUGUUACCAUUUUUGAGCCGAAGAUGUGGUAAGAAUUUCCGCACGUAAUACAAA